UACGUAGGCAGCGAGCGUUGUUCGGAGUUACUGGGCGUAAAGGGUGUGUAGGCGGUUGCUUAAGUUUGGUGUGAAAUCUCCCGGCUCAACUGGGAGGGUGCGCCGAAUACUGAGUGACUCGAGUGCGGGAGAGGAGAGUGGAAUUCCUGGUGUAGCGGUGAAAUGCGUAGAUAUCAGGAGGAACACCGGUGGUGUAGACGGCUCUCUGGACCGUAACUGACGCUGAGACACGAAAGCGUGGGGAGCGAACCGG
rnacentral:rRNA from 1 species